rnacentral:lncRNA from 1 species
UUUGGGACAGCGCUUAAUCAGCACAAUAGCACACAUACAUUAAUUUUAUUUAUUAAUUUCUUCUUUUAGGAAGAUAAGAGUACAUGAAAAGGAGCAAAGAAAAUUCUUUAUAUCUCUCAAAAAAUCUUAUUGGUCGCAAUUAAACUAAAUUGAUACUCACACAAUUGAUAGGUCAUAAUAUACCUAUCUUUUUAUUUAAUUUCAAAAAAAUAUUUCACGCACUUUAACCGAUGUAGUCGGGCUUUCUUCCGUGUUGAGGAACAACAAAAAAAUCAAGAUUAUCAUUUGUAGCAUCAUCAUCAGCAAUACUCGAACGGACAUCUAAUAUGUGCCCCUCUGACCAAUUCCUCUUGUCUGAAAAAUUCAUAUUGAAAAACUUAAUCAUAAAUGCAUAAGUUAAAACAAGAAUUAUAAACAAUAUUUAACUGAAGUUGGCCAAAAUACCUGCGCAGGGAGUCUCCAUAUUCUUCAAAUUAAUCAGAAAAGAUCUCUCUAGCUUCCGGUGAACCGUUAUGAAAACACAAAAGUAAUUAAGUUGCUUUAGCGAGUUCUAGCGUUUGAUAUUUAUAGAAUGAAGCAACCAACUGUAGAUUCAAAUAAUAAAUCUUUACAAAUAUUGCCAACAAAUUAUUGAGUGCCAACAAAUAUAAUUGAAUAUUUAAUUUUCGACUCGGACGUAUGGUCGGUCGGCAAUCAAUUAUUAAAACAAGACAAACUAAUAGCAAUACUAAAUUCUUUUCUUCACAGAUGUUAUCUUCAUUUUGGAAUGACUGGACAGAACUGCCAAAAUAUUGAUUGACUUCUGAACAUUAUUUUUUUUAAAACGGCUCAAAUUCAUGCAACGUACCCUAUUUUUCUCAAUAUUAUCAUCAAUUUAGGUCUUGAAUUUUGAUUUUAUAAUUACUUCUAUAGGGUCAGAGAUUCAUCACACCUAAUAAAAAUUCAAGUUUCUAGACCUAAAAUUAAUUCUUAUCCAGUAAAAUAUGUAAAGUGCCUCCACCAAUCAUUCAACAAUGAGUACAUGCGAAUUAAAAAUUGUGCAUUCGCCUAUUAUAUUCAUACAUUUUAAGCAUAUAUAAUUGAUUAGUAUAAUUAUUUGUAGCUGCUCGAGCCUGUAUCGGUUGUGAUCACUUGGUUUCCAUCCUUAAAAUCUUUGGGGGAUUCAUUUUUUUUUUUUACUUUUUUUUAUUUGUUGGUAUUCCUUGAUGAAUUGUUAUGUAACUAAGGACAUGCUUCUGAAAAAAGAGAGAAAGUUAUGAUGGCAUUAUCAUGCUGAUACACAUAAUUGAAGAAACAUAAACAUUCUUAAUUAAUUUACAGAUCUUAAUUCCCUUAUGAAUUGCCGCAAUUACCAAACUAGUACAUCGGGUUUGUUUAACAAAAAUAUCCAAGAAGAAAGAGAGUAUCAUUAAUUAAAUUGAUUUGGACAACAGCACACGAUUUUGUCUUCAUUAAUGGACUAACAUAAUUAACACAUUGACAUACCAUAAUUUUUUUUAUUAAUGACAAUGAACGAAGUUACUCUAAUCAUUUUAUUUUAUUUUUUUUCUAUAUUUAUAUGUUUCAAUAAGAAGACCACAUUAAUAUUUAUAAUUAAACAAACUAUUAAAACUAAUCUGAUCAAUUCUAUUAUAGCACAAUCUAGAUAUAAGUCUAUUUUUGGAACCCAAACAGAAUUAGUAAACGAAUAGAGGGUUCGCAGAAGAAAUUAGUAGGUUCAUAUAUAAAAUAUUAUUGUUUAUAUUUAUUCCUGGGCCGUUUUGGUCUUGACCUGCUUGAAAUAUUUUAUUGUAGAUAACUCUUAUAAGUAAUUGAAACGGUAUCAAGAAAUCAUCUGUUCUUUAUUUAUUUAAAGAGUAAAACCAAUUUACAUGCAGCUUAGAUAGCUAGAAAUAAUUUCUAGGAUUCUGCGACCGAUUUUUCUCUGGAACUUGAGGAGAAACAACAGUUGAAAUCAAUUUCUUGAAAUUGCAAAGUAGUUGGAAGCAAUUUUACGGAAGCGAUUGGAGAGCUAAAGACGUGUUCAAAAUGCAUUAUAUUUGAAUUUUGAAUUGUAAAACUGAAAGUGGCAUGGUUGUGAUUACUGUAAAUAUACUAUAUAUGGAUGAUGUUUUUAAUUUAGAGAGUCAAUGGAUACAAGACACAAAAAGCUAAGAGUAACGUGUCAUACUCAUAAUGAAUGAUUGACCCCUUACACUCAUUUUUUUAGUGGCUCACACUCUUCUGAAUUCUGAUGGCGACAAUAAUUUGAAAAAAAGAAGGAAAAGUUAAUGCUUAAAUUCACAGUGAUGAUGCUUAAAGACAAACAAAGUAAUUAAAUACCAUUACCAACAACCAAACAGAGGCCAAGCAAUAGUGCAUGUUAUUGAUAACAGAUGAGUAAGAGUAACGGCUCCGUAUGGGACACAUUAUUGCAGCCAAACCUAUUUGAUCAAGUCGGGAGACUAUAGAACAUCACUUAUUCCACACACGAUUUUAUUUAUUAAUUUUCUUUUUCAAGAAGAUACAAUAAGUUUAUACAACAAAAAAAUUAUUAUAUAUCUAAGGAUAUUUUAACUAAAUAACACUCAUACGAUUGAUAAGUAAUUAUAAUAUCCAUCAUUUUAUUUAAUUAAACAUAACUUAUAAUAGCUACGACACUAUGCUUAGCUAGUGUGAUCAAAUUUUUUUUCGUAUUGAGAGACAACAAAGAGAUCAAUAUUAUCAUCUAUUAUCUCAUCAUUAACAAUAUUAAGUCUGUAUGAAUAUUUACCCUUUGACCAUUCGUUUUUACAUGAAAUAUGUAUAUAUAUCAAAAUAAGAAUCAGAAACGACAUUCAAGUGAUGUUGGCCUAAAAAACCUGCAUCAAUAGUUUCCGUAUUCUUGAAAUCACAAAAGAUCUAUUAUUUGAAUGGUUGAAUGCUACUGAUCAUGUCAAAAAAAGAGAGCAUCCUUUUUGUUGGGAAUGAUCCGGUAGAUAAUUUUGAUUUCUUUUUGUAUGUUUCACUAGUGAUGAUUAAUUAGGGGAAUUAACUAAUUGUGUUGGUUUGGCUCACAAUUAUUGUAUUAUUGUAUUAUCAAAACAAGUGUAUCAUAAUUUACUCAUUGAGAUAAAGAUGAUUGAGUAAGAAGAAAUAACGUAAAGACCUCCAAAAAUACUGUUACAGUAGUCAGCACUGCUGACAUUUUCAAUGCUACAGUAUUUCUUACAUUAGGAUAUGCUUGCCAAAUGUUUUCUGGAGCUUGCAGCUUAUGUUAGGUCUUCUCCUGCUUUGUAUGACUUUUUAUCUGUUAUAUUGGUUCCCAAAUCUUCAUUUUUGGGCUAUGAUUUUGCAUUCUUUUCACUGUUGACAUCAAUUGUUCUAUGAUUAUUAUGUUUACUGUGUGCUCUAUUUUAGUUUAUAAAAUGUGUUUUAAUGGUAAGUUUUGCCAACGCCUACCGUAAAGACAAAUAGUUUGUGGUGCUAAUACUUCUUUUAUCAGAGAUUUAUUAGCAAGCAUUGUGUGAGUUCUAUUCAAGUAUAUAUUUUCACCACCUAAGUUAUGCCUCAGUCAUAAAUGGAAAAAAGGUAACUCGAUUGAUUUGCACUUAUCCAAUGGAGUUCAUUGGCAAUGUGAUGGUAGAAGUCAACUUAUUGGUAGUAUAAGAUUCUUUGGAGAAGAAAGCAGAAGGGGACUUGACAAUGAUUUGUCAAUAAUAUCGGGUUAUUAACGUUUGCUUGGGGUCUUGUCUAUUUAGUGAUUGAUCUAUAUAACAGAAGUUUUUGUUUCUGACUUAACUAAUAGAUGUGAAGUGUGUGGUGCGCGCCGAUGACGUUUCAGGAAUAAAGCAGCAGCAAAGGGACAGAAAUGUCAGCACCCACAGCAGUAUGCUGACCUGCUUCCUAUCCAAUGUACUGUACAGUCAUAUACCAUCCUCCAGAAUGACUUGGGCCAAACCAUUGCGUGAACAGUAUACAACUUUCGGUUUCUGCUUGCUUCAGUCAACACCACUGGGAAAAGCCCUGUAAGUGUUGGCUGCGGUCCAAACAUAAUUAAUAUUUAAUAGUAAACACAAUCAAGCCUAUUGAAUAUGACAACUCCUAUUUAGAAAUGGAGAUUUGAUGAAUCAAAUUUGGCCUUGUUCUUAAGUCGCUGUUUUGAGUUUGUAGGGGUAAUGGUGAAUUGAAUUUAGUCUGUUGAGAGUUUUGUAGAUGUUUAAAGAUUCAUCUUGUUAGCCCGGUUAUUUUUUAUUGGGUUAUAUAGUUUAAAAGUUGCUUAGACCAUAUUUUGACAUAGACGUGUCUUCUUUGUAAGAUUUUGCAGCUUUAUAGUUUAUAAAACAAUAAGAAGAUCACUCACGAGGAUCAUUGAGAAUAUUUUUGAAGACUUAUAUUGUUUUUUUCCAAUUUAAAGAUUUCUGGAUUCAUUUUUUCUUGUCACCAUGCACAAUUUGUUACUAACUUAUUGUUGUCUAAUAGAUUGCAGUGUCUUCGCUUAAUGGACCCUUCUAUGCCCUUUUGGGAGGUAACAACAUGUUGACUUUUACUGUCGAAGCUACGAAGCUACCAACUAGCUGAGUUUUACUACCGAAGCUACCAUAGCUACCACAAGUGGUUUCGUGGCACUCAUUAUGCUCCCGUCUUAACCUACCGAUAUUCCCAUUGAAAACUAAAACAAGAACUGCAACUGCUGGAUUUUCCUUGUCAUACAUACACUUGUGACUAUCUACUCUGGCCGUUUAGGCUCGUUUUAAUGAUAUUUCUCUUUAAUGAUUACAUUUUUAACUUUUGACCAACUGCAACAAUGAAAAAUGAAAUGAAAUACAUACAUAGUUUGAAUGAAAGUGUCUUCAAUAUAUUCCCUUAUGCAAAAUACAACAAAUGAGAAGAAAGGAUAUAUCAUCAUUCCUUUUGCAAAAUAGCAGCAGUAUAACUUCAACAACAUGAAUAAAGGCCUACAAAUAAAAACGAACAAGUUAUUAUUUAUGAUGAUAAAAUAAAUAAAAAUAUUCAUAAUUUAUGAAUACUUGCAAAUUAUUACCAGAUUUACCUAUGAUUAGAUCAUCCUUGGUAUGUAUUUGUAGGCAUGUACGCACACGUAACUGGAUCAAUUUCAGAAUUCUAUAAUUCACCCAAAAAAAAAAAAAUUAUAGAACUAAAAUAAAUUAAAUCUUUACAAUUUAAAUGGGAAUUAUUGAACAAAUAUUACAUACCUCCAUAACCAUGCUUUGUUGUGUGCCAAAGAUAUCUUUAUCGCAUAAUGGUUCUGUGAAAUCAUUCUAAGUAGAGUAUAGUACAAUUACGACAAAUAAUAAAUAUGAUAAAAAUUACAAUAAAAAAGAAGCCAUUGUAAAGAUUUUUUAUUUGCUUACCUUUUUCAUCUUUUUACCAUUUGAAUUCUUUUGCACUAUUUUUCCUUUCAUUUUCUGGACAACUUUUUCGAGCUUAGAUUGCUUCCUCUUGAAUUGAGGACGACCUUUGUUUUGGACUACCAAAGGAGUGAGAAUGGUUGAAGUGCCAUCAUUUGAAGUGCCAUAAGGUUUUCCAUUAGUUCUUGUUCCAUCAAUCGAACUAAUCUUACUCUGUUUUCCAUUGACAAAAUUUUCACUCAACGUUGUUUCCAAAUCAUUUAUUGUUGACCCCACCAAAUUGCACUUUUCUUCACUAUGGAAGCCAAUUCUGCCACAUUAUAGAAUAAAUUACACAUUUUGUCAAAGCGAUGGCCCUCAGGUUUGAUGCUCCAAUUAUCAUAAUUUACCUUCACUUUAGUAUGACAUCUUUUUACAUCUUUUCUCCAUCGCCUGAGUAUAUAUUUCAAUGGGACAUGAAAGAUACUUUUAUGAAAUUAAUAACGCCGCAAUUGCAUGUUGCCAUAAUAUUCCUUUAAAUUCAAACAAUUGGCAAUUACAAUUAACCUCAUGAGAUGCCAUAUUCAAGAAAACAAUAAAAAAAUCACGACAUAGAGUUUCUCCAACCUUGACGUCUUCAUUCACAGUAAACUCCAAGCUCACACCAUUCUCUUUAUAUAAAGAUAUUUCACAAUAUAUUUUUGCUGAUAACUCACGUUGAAACUCUUUAAAUUUUGCAAUUGUAUAAACAUCUCGAAAUUGCUUCUCAACGACAUAAUGAGUCAUACAAGGGAUUUGCGAAUUGAAAGAAUUAAGCUUGAUUCUCCUUUUCCACCUUAUCUUUCAAUGCACUCUCAUAUUGUUCCACAAAUUGUUUCAAGGUUGUUUUAGAAUUUACAUACUCACCAAAAAAUGCAUGCAUGCUUUCAUUAUGUUGAGUUGUAGACAUUCCUGUCCAAAAAGAAUUUCUCACAAAUGAUGGCACCCAACGUCUUCUUUCAUUAUACAACCUAAGCAUCCACUCAUUACUACUCAGAUUAUAUUUUUCAAUGAAUCUAUCCCAACGUCCUUCAAAUGCAGCAGGUGUUAAUGAAUCAUAAACAACAUUUUGUAGAUUAAAUUUAAUUUAAUCAUAUUCCUUCUAACCUCUUAAUUUGUAGACAUUCCUGCCCAAAAAGAAUUUCUCACAAAUGAUGGCACCCAAUGUCUUCUUUCAUUAUACAACCCAAGCAACCACUCAUUACUACUCAGAUUAUAUUUUUCAAUGAAUCUAUCCCAACGUCCUUCAAAUGCAGCAGGUGUUAAUGAAUCAUAAACAACAUCCUGUAGAUUAAAUUUAACUGAAUCAUAUUCCUUCUAACCUCUUAAUUUGUAGACAUUCCUGGCCAAAAAGAAUUUCUCACAAAUGAUGGCACCCAAUGUCUUCUUUCAUUAUACAACCCAAACAACCACUCAUUACUACUCAGAUUAUAUUUUUCAAUGAAUUUAUCCCAACAUCCUUCAAAUGCAGCAGGUGUUAAUGAAUCAUAAACAACAUCUUGUAGAUUAAACUUAAUUGAAUCAUAUUCCUUCUAACCUCUUAAUUUUUCAAGCAAUUUCUUCAUUAUAUGCCACAAGUGUUGUACAAAUUUUAUUGAACUCGCAAGUGCACGAAUCUAUUGUAGAAUAAAUCAAUGGUGACGAGUGUCGAUCCCACGAGGAGGUGAAUUUUAAUUGCGUGUAAAGUUAAUUUUCUAAGUAGGUGGUUAAAUUUGUGGUGAACGUGACUUAAACUUAUCCUAAAAUUUAAAUUAGAAUGGCAGAAAUAAAUUAAAAGUAAAAUCUAUUCAAAUGAAGUGCUUGGGUAUCUAGAUCUGCAUCAAUCUGCACCAUAGACUUAAUAUUCUUUAUUAGUGCCAAUUAAAUUAUGAGGGGGGUUUCCACUUCUCAUGAACCUCUUCUAAUCAAUAUGGUGCUAAGGACUUAUCGUGCCAAAUGGUAAUAACCUUGCACCAGACAAGAUUAUUACUAUCUGUCGACGAAAAGUCAAAACAUCCACAAAAAUCAAAGGAGAAGAGAAAGUAAAUUUACCAAAUUAAGCCCAUAGAACAUGUUGAGACUUCACCUUCAACCCAAACUUGAAAGAAAAUUAGCUACUUAUAAUUGAAAAAAUGAAAAUUUAUUAAAAUACGUAGAAAGAAAUUAUAGAAAAUAGAGCUAAAAAAUGAAUUCAGGGGUGUCGAAUUGGGGGGAGCCCCCUUUUUAUAGAUACAAUGAGUAAAUCAUGAUAAUCAUAUUAAAAUAAUUUGGACACUUAGGAUUGCGCCACAUGAAAAGUUCUGAUUGAAUAGAACACAUCAUCAGGGCUGUCAUUCCAUGUAUAUGCAUGUACCAUAUGCAUGUUUUUUUUUUGGUCCACUAACAUACUGUCACGUCAACGGUCAACACCACAUCAACAUUUUAGUCCAAUAGGAUCGUGACACAUCAUCGGUCAACACCAACUCAUCAGUCAACGCCACAUAAGCAGUCAAUGCCACAUCAUUCGUCCAAUUAAAUGCUGCCACGUCAUUGGUCGGUGCUACGUCAUUGGUUAAUACCACGUCAUUGGUCAACGCCAUGUCAUUGGACCGUAUAUGUGAACAGUGUCGUGAACAAUACCAUGAACAGUACCGUACAUAUAAACAAUAUCGUUUACCCUUGUAUGCUCCUCCAAGGUUUUCGACUGUCUUGAGUAUAAAAUUGCUGUCUGUUUUGCUCUCUGAUCUUUCGUUCAUUGUGAAAUGACCAUGAUGCCCCUAAAAUACAUAACAUACUUAAUUAAAAUAAAACACACAUAAUUAAAUCACAAGGGACUUAAAUAUAUAAAAGUAGGGAUGUUAGUGAGACUUGAAGUGUAAAAUGAUGAUUUUCUCCUUUAUAAACAUACACUUUCUAGCACUCAACAACAAGCACCAUCUAUUUUGUGUAUUUGGAAAGAGAACCUCAAUUGCUUUCUGCAUAGAUUUAUCUUGAUUAGUAACUAUUGCUUAUGGGGCAAUACCCAUCAUACAUGUAUGCCAAGACUCAAAAGCAUAUGAAAGUCUCAGUAUCCUCAUUAAAGAUCAAUCCACAACCUAAUAACAUUGAUUGUCCAUGAUGAUUCACCCCCACAAAGGUAGUAAAAGGCAUAUCAUAUCUAUUAGUUAAAUAUGUUGUAUCAAAUGUAAUAAUAUCGCCAAACUCCUUAUACACGGCCUGACUCCUUACUUCAGCCCAUAAAACAUUCUUUAAUCGACCCUCUUAAUCUAAAUCUAUACCAUAAAAGAAAUUUGAAUUGUUACCUUGCAUUUUCAUCAAGUAGCUUUGAAUUGCAGUGGCAUCUCCAACUCCAAGCUAUUAAUGUCUUACUUUAUCAACAUGAUUUCUACAAUCUCUCACCAAAAAAGAUAAAUUCUCCUAUCCUCCUGCUUCAUCUGCUAAAGAAUUAAAACUCUUAUUCAUUUUUAUCCUAGCCCUAUCAUUUAAUUCAGCCUUCCUCUUUACAUAUGUCUUCAAUAUGUUGUUACUCUUUAAAAAUCGAGCUUUCUUUGGAGUAGUAAGUUCAUGAUUGUCGUCAAAUAUGAUAGAACACACCUGCCACUUUCCAUCAGGUCGUAUAAAAGCAACAAGCCUUGCUUUGCAAUCAGUAUUUUUCAUUGGACACAUCUUGAAGGCAUUUGCAGACUUUGAUCUUUGGUUUGCCAUAAUGCGAACAACAUUGUCACAAAUUUCAGUUGCCCAUCAUCUCCCUUUCUCGAAGAUCUAAUAAAACCUUCAAACCCUAUACCUUUUCCAUAUUGCUUAUGAAAGUCAAAAACACCCUCAAAAGAUUCAAAAACCAUUCCAACCUGAGGCAACUCAAUUUUUUCUUCUGGACUUAUUGUAUCUUCCAUUUGCUCAUCAUUAUUGUCCUAAUAUACAUGAUAUAAAAAUCCAAAUAAAAAUCAAAUUGAUGAACAUUAAAAAAAUAAUAAUACGAAUUUACCUCGACAAGACGAGAGUCUGAGAGAAUGUCUUCAAUAAGUUUUGACUCAAAGUCCUACAUCUUUGAUAUUCAAUAAUCAAUAAUUAAAGGAAUUAAUCAGUUGAUGUCAAUACAUGAUGAAGGUCAAACAAUGCUGAUAAACAAUAAAAACCAAAAAGCCCUCACCUGAAAUAAGAGAACUAACUUCUGUAUCCGUACAUGAUAAUUAUAUUUCCGAAGGAAAAGUUCCACCAACAAUCUAAAAAUUUAAAAGAUUAUUAUGUGAAUUUUGUUUAAGCAAAAUUUUUCUUCAAACCAGGUGUUACAAACUAAUCCUGAAAUUUUUUCAAUAAUUGUUGUAAUAAAUACAUGAUUCAAACCAAAGUUCGAGAUUGUUCAACUAUAAAUUUUACAGAACAAUUAAUAAGCAAAACUCUGUUCUUGUUCCUAGAGAAGAAAUACAAUAAAAAAGCUUAUUGAUGAAGUCUUUGUUGUAGUAAAUAUAUGAUUCGAACUGAUUUUGUUUGACUUAAAAUUAAAAGGAAUUGAUUGAUUUUCACAUAGCAAAAGCGGAUUCAAUUCUCCGAAAAAAAAAAAAAACACAACUUCAAUUAGAACAAAAUUGAAAACAAUAAUGACACAACAUGGAAGAUUGUAAAGAAAACACCCUUAAUCUAUCCGGCAAUUUUAUAGACAUACCCAAAAAAAAUAUGGUGGCAAAGGAAGAUUGUAAAGAAAGAGAAGCCGAAGCCAUAAAAGAAGCCCACGAAGUCCAGAGAAAUAGGAAAACAGAAAUUAAAAAAAUGCUUUUUAUUUGAAUUUACAACGUUAGCUUAGGUUGACUUAACUUGGUGAUGUAUCUAGAGCCACAUUAGCCGCCAACUCAGGCUGUACAAAAACGUUUGUGUAAUAGUUUGUGAUUGCAUCAUUAUUAUAAAAAUAUACUCCAUGAUCCUAGAUUUGUUAAAAUUCGGGAAAGCUAUUAAGCCCUACGAAUUAAUUGUAUAAUGUCUGUGAAAGUUAAUAAGCCAUGCAAUUUAAUAGUAUAGUGGCAUAAAACUACUAAACCACAUGGCUUAAUAGUUCUCUCGAACUUUAAUAAAGUCCAGGAUCCUGGACCAAAUUGAAACUAUGUAUACAUAUGUGUGUGUGUACGUACUCUUCCUAUAUUUUAAUCUCAAACCUGAAGCUAGCUCUAUAUAUAAACUAAUAAAAGGGAUCCUGCAUUUUGGGCCAUUGAAUUUGAAUCCAAUGAACUAUUUUUGUUUAUUUUUAAAUCUAUACAUUGUAGGACCUACCUUUUAUAUGACCUUCAUAAAAAAUUUGAAGAGUUUUUUAGAAAUGGUCUAAGACUUUAGCCAACCGCCCAAAUGGGAUAGGAGAAGAGUUGUGUGUGAGCGUGAGAUGGUCAAGGAGGGGGGAAAAAAGUUUCUUAUUCCUGUGUGUGGUAGUGUGUGCAAGCUGGCCUUUUUACUUAUACUUAUCACAUGAAAUGGUAGUGUGGGCCCUCAUCACCCUUAAUCAUGUGUGUAGACUGGCUUUUUUUACUUGGUAUUUAUCACGUGCAAAGAUAAUGCAAGUAUAGUCAUUCAUGAGUAGAGCUUUGAUACUGGAUAUAGAAGUCUAUAGGUUUACUCAUGCUCUAAAAGUAGCUCAAGAGAAUAUGGUUAUCUCAAUCUUACAUUAUUACCCUGUUGUUCUCACUCGAUGUAAGAUAAUAUUGUUAAUAAUUGUGUGAUAUGUAACCAAUACUCAUCGAACUACAUAGACUGUAAGGGUAUCAAAAAUACCCGCCUGGCCUGUACAGGAUUGGACUCAAGCAAUUGGGGCCAGGUAUUACCUAGAUUGGGAAUGAAGUUGCGUCGGUCUUGAGCAUCAGUUGAUAAGCUCGGGCCUGCUCGAAAUUGGAAUUUUAUUAAAAAAAUUAUAAAAUAUAUAGUAUUUUAAAUAAUUAUAUUUAUUUGACCCAUCUAUUACAUAUAUUUAAAAUUUUAAAUAUUUAAAGUUCAUAUUUACAUGUCUAAUUUCAUUAAAAUAAAUUAAAAAUUAUAAAAUUAUAAAAUAAAUUAAAAAUUUACGUAUAUAAUAUCAUAAAAUAUAAAAUCUGAGCGUAAAACCCUAGAUUAAAAAACCCAAUCCAGUCUAGGUGUUUAGAAAACAUAUCUAUGUUAGGUUUGGACAUUCUCAUAUCUGAGCCUGGACCUAAAUUUUACCAUCCCUAAUAGUUAGUGUAUGUUCUUUGAUCUUUCUUGAUUUGAUUGUUGCUGUGUUUAUUUACGACCCGAUUGUAUCGGUUUGAUCUCAGCUUCAAUUAGAUUUUGAGGCUCAAAGUUUAACAAUAACAAACAAUGCGGUUCUUAGCAUUUGCCAAGAAAAUAAAUCUAAAUUCCGAAGAGUCGGCUAUAAAAUUCGACCCAAAAAAAAAAAAAAAAAACAAGAAAGAGAAGACCUAAAUCUCGAAGAAUCGGAUAUAAAAUCUGACUCUUAACUUUUGACGCGAUACGUAGUUUGUCGGCUAAUGGCAAUUAAAUUAAUGUUUAUAAUUUAAUUACAAGACAAACUAAUAGCAGUUAACACCGUCUUUUCUUUCGAAAUGAUUUCUACACCAUGUUAAAUUAAUGUUUAUCAUUUAAUUAUAAGCCAAACUAAUAGCAGUUAUCACCGUCUUUUCUUUUCAAAAUAUCAUUCCAUUUGGAAAAUGUAGGUGUCUUCUGAAGAGGUGACUCAUUCUCUCAUUGUGCAUUCAACGCUUGUCCUGCAACACAUAUUCCUGAUGCUUACUCACGGAACACAGCUUGUAUUUUUGUCUCUUGCAUCAUUGUUUUAUUUGACUUAAACAUCACCGAAUAUGCCUCAUGGGUCGGAGUUUUUAUACAAAAUUUUUAGUGCAUGUUUGAUAUGGUUAUAUAAUGUUUGAUACGAUUUAUUUAAUGACUAAAAGUACUUAUUUAAUUUCAUAAAUUCUUUUCAAAAUAUUUGUUGUUGUUUGUUUUAUUUUUAAGUAGAGCUUUUAAAGAGUAAAAAGCUAUUUUACGACUAUUAGCAAAAGUUUAAAUUUUAGGCUUUUAGGAGCAGAUACAAUUUUAUUCUUUACUGAUUCAACAAUUUCAUGUUAAAACUAUAAAAUAUUCUUUACUGAUUGGACAAUUUUAUUUCAUAUUAAAGUAAUUUUAUAAUUUUUAAUAAAAGUUGUCAUUGACAACCAAACAACUAAUUUUGUUUUUCCCUUUGUGAAAGCUCUACUCAUACAGUUAUAAUAGCUCUACUAAUAAAAUCUCUACCUAAAUAAAUUUUACUUAAAAAAUUAUACCAAAGGAGUGUUAGUCUCAAAAGAUAUAUCAUCCCAACAGGUGUGUGUAUAUAUAUAUAUAUAUAAUAUACGUUUCACAAUAUCAUAUGAAUUACGUACACUAGUGUUUUUUAAUUUAAAAUUGAAAAUGAUUUAAUGUUCGUAUUUUUUGAUGAUUUUAGAAUCAUUGUAUGCACUAAAAGGCUGUGUAUUUGUUUAUAAUUAUAUAAUAAAAAUUAUUAAGUUAUUUGGUCCUUUUUAUUGUCAUUAAAAAUAAUGCUUCAAUAAUAAAUUCUCACACAGUAUGGGGAGACCCGAACUCUCCACGCUAAAGUUAAGAAGAGGAAGUAGGAGUGCAGGACCAACCAAACCAAGGCUUUUGGCUCAUCAAAUUGGACUUAUUGUUAUUUUUAUUGCCCAAACGCAUGCGAUUAAAUAAAUUUUGUAAUUUGUUAAGACAUCUAUUUUAAAACAAUUUUCAGCACACAUGCAUUUUUCUUAACUCUUAUUUAAAAAUAUUCAAGAAGAAAGAGAGGAUAUAAUUAGUUAAAGUCAUAUGGAUAGUAUCACACGAUUUUAUGUGUAUUGACCAGCUAAUUCAAUCAAUCGAUUGGCGCGCGAUGCUUUGCAUCACUGAUCGAGUUGAAAUUGUUAUGUGAGAAAAAAUAAACAUUGGAAUAUUAUAUUGGAUACCCUGGAAAAUGAAACAGAGCUGAAAGAGGCAGUUUGGCAUAGCUUGAACUAAUAAUGUGAGGAUGAGAGACAUGCAAUUGUAAAUUUGCAUAUUGAGCAGCAUAAAAAACUAAUGUAGGGCUAUUAUAAUUAUGCUGAGCUUUGCGGACUCAAAUAUUGAUUAGGCAUAAAAACAUCACCAGGUGGCUGUUCUUAUUUGAGUUUAUACAGGCUUUAAUUUGCAAUCCAAAAUUGUAACAAUAAUUAUGAUAUUUUUCACUUGAUAUAGUUUUAGGCAGUGAUUGCUAUUCUGUAUUUCUAUGUUGACAUCUAUGUUUCUGGUUUGUCUUCAGCUUUAAUUUGCAGCUAUCUAACACUAAUGUUUUACUAGUUCUAGAAUGUUGCUUGAAAAUUUCUCUUUUGAAGUUGCUAGAGUGUGGUCCCCAACUAUUAUGGCCACAUAAAUUCCUGAUAAUGCCAUUUCAUUAUCCCAAUCUUUCUUUGUUGUGCAAUUGGUGGCAGGCAGCAAAGAGAAGAAAAAUGUCAAAGCUGAUGCUUGCUUGCUGCAAGGUAUAUAUAUCUGAAAGUCGAAACAAUGCUGCACUGGAAUCAAUUGAACAAGCUGCCAAACUAUUUUCAGAAGCUGCUAUUGUCAACAAAUUUGAAGAUGUAACUUACAAUAGAGUUGGUUAUACGGUGGUCUCCAAAUUGGCUCCAAAGCCAUCUUCAAACUCUCAUCCUCUGAAAAGUACUGUGUUUGCCAUGGUUAAAGCUGCUUUUGAGAAUAUUGACCUAGAUAUGCAUUCUGGAAGUCAUCCUAGGCUUGGAGUCGUGGACCAUAUAUGCUUUCACCCUUUGGCUUCUGCACCUUUGGACCAAGUGGCCGAGAUUGCAAAGUCUUUGGCAGGAGACAUCGGAUCUGAUCUUCAAGGUUUGUUUCCUAGAAAGUCCAAUGAAUAUAGCUACUAGAGAUUCUAGCAAAGCUGAAAAUAUGAAUUGGUACUUUUGCCUUCUCUAAAUUCCUGCACAAAUUCAUAACUGUGAAAGGGCCAGAUAAGCCUAAAAUAACAGCAUGUUUUGUUUUGUACCUUAUCCAGCCUGAGGGGUGUGUCCAACACAAUUUAGUGCUUUAUCCUAUUAUCUUCUUAAGCAAACUUCAGAUGCCAGAAUUAUUGAUAACCAAGCGCUUUGAAGUUUUGCACUGAUACAAAACAUUAGAGUGUUCUGAUGUUUGUGGUUUCUUUUGUAUCCUUUCUUGUUCAGGAUAAAGGACGUGCAUUGAGUGAGCUCUUUUCUCAUUUAACAUGGAGUGUUUCCAUUGUAUAUUGCCAAUUCUCUAUAUUUAGUGAGCCUAAAUAUAGAAUUGGGUUACCAGAAUGCAUCUCUUAUCUUACUACAAUGGUUACAAUUAGUAACUCAUGAGCAUGUUUUAUUCUCUUGGGAAAUUUCCUUUGCGCUUGCUGAUGAUCCUCAAUGUAGCCUGCAGUCCCUACCUUUUUAUAUGGAGCUGCACACGAAGAGGGAAGGACACUUGAUUCGAUUAGAAGAAAUCUGGGAUAUUUUAAGCCUAAUUCAGCUGGAAACCAGUGGGCUGGAGGGUUAAAUUCAGAGUCUUUAUUAGUGAAGCCAGAUAGAGGUCCUGAUCAAGUGACUCAAUCAAAAGGUGUCAUUGUAAUUGGAUCAACGAGGUGGGUUGAUAACUACAAUGUUCCUGUCUUCUCCACAAACAUUGCUGCUGUUCGCAGGAUAGCAAAGCGAGUAAGUGAAAGAGGAGGUGGACUUGCUUCAGUACAAGCCAUGGCUCUUACACAUGGUGAAGUUAUCACUGAGGUAGCAUGUAAUCUGUUGGAACCCAGUAAAAUAGGAGGAGAUAAAGUUCAGCUAGAAGUCAAAAAGCUUGCAGGGGAAGAGGGUAUGGCUGUGGGGAAAGGAUACUAUACUGACCUUUCACAGAAAGAAAUAAUUGAACGUUAUAUGAAAUUGAAUUCACUUGCUUAAGAUGUAGAUGUUCAUUUUUUAUUUACUUUCUGUCUAAGAUAUUAUGUAUUAAUUCCUACAGGUGAUUUUUUUUUUUGGAAGUCACCAUUUUUCUUCUCUUGUUCCAAACGAUUUUUUUUUUCCUCUCAAUUAUCGUUGGCUGAUUUUAGUUCGAGCGAAAAAGAUUUAAUAAAAUAGGUUACUUUUUCUUUUUUUUUAAAAAAAAUUUGUUCAAAGAGUGGAAGAGAAGAUGAAGAAAAAUAGAAUGAGAAAGGUGAGUUUUAAUUGGUGUAGGUAUGAACAAAUUUUUAAAUUAUGACAAGUGGUGUUGAUUGGAAAUAUUGGGUGUCAGCUCAAGUCGGCAUUUUUCAAAUUCUAAGUUAACCCAAAGCAAAAAGUAUCGAAAUGUAUUUUUUUUUCCCCUCAUCCAAAUUAAUUGUGAAAAACAAGGGGAGGGAGGCUUUGCAUCCAUUAUUAAAACAUAGAAUGUCUCCAUGAUAUUUUUCUGAAACAUGGGAGUGCAAUUGUCAUAUUCCAUGCUUGUUUUAGUAAUUUUACUGUCAUUAUUUGAAGUAAAUGCCAUUUGCUGCCAUCGACCUUGUUUACUUUCUAUUUUUUUGUGGCCUUUUAUUUGUAUAAUAUAAUCUAAUGCAUUUGCUAUUCAUUAUAACCUUAUCCUACAUGUAAGUAGAUAUUAAUAAGAGUAGAAAAUUUUGGUUGCAUUUUAUAAUUUUAAAUAUAAAAUAAUUUAAGUUUGAUUGUAAAUAUAAGUAGUCUUUUGAUUGUAAUAUCAGUAACAAUAAUAGUAAUAAAAAAGUGAUCCAAUGCAGGUCAAUUUUUUUUUUUUAAAGUUCUAAUAAAUUUCGUAAAUGUCGCCCAUGUAGAAAUGAUUUGAAGUUUUAUUAGGUAAAAAUUAUUUUAAUGAGUUAAAAAUCUGUAGAAAGGUCCACACUUCUGCCUUGUGAAGGUCUACAAACACAUACAGCAUCUGUUUGACAAAAGGAAUAUAAAGAUCAAACAGAUGUCCUGAUGAACGUGGGUUAAUUGACAAUGAGUCACAGUAAUCUAUUUCACGUGCCGCUUACCUAACACGAAACCACUUAAAAUCUAGCAAGCUAAAUGGCACAAUUCCAUUUCUGUGAGCCUUUUUUUUUUUUUUUUUUUUUGUCUUUUCUUUGAAAAAAGGAAGAACCGAAAGGAAAAGGCGAAGUGAGGAAGAGCCUGCCGUUUUGAAACAUCUUUACAUGUAUACGGGAUGCUUCUUUCAUAGUUCUCUUGCCUUACAAAAUUGAUUAAAUAAAAUAAUACAAGUCAUUUUUCGCACGCCCUUAUAAAUUUUGAUGGUUGGUGCACCCGUCUGGUGGUGUGACUUUAGAGAUGGACAACGGGCCGCCCCAAUACAGCUUUGUCCGUUAAGGAAUGGUCUAGUUUUGUUACUAGGCUGAUGUGGCAGAAAGUAUUAUACAAACUUAUCUUAUACAAACCGAUCGAUGUUGUAUGAUAAAAUUAGUUGAAUUAAAUAUCUCUUGAUCCACAUGAUUUAUUUUCAUUAUUUUGUAUUUUCAUUCAAUCAAUGAGUUAAUGUCACAUCAGUUUGUAUGAAAUAGAUUUAUAUAAGAGUUUGUGAUUGUAUCAUCACUCUAAAAUAAUAUCUCUUGAUCCACAUGAUUUAUUUUCAUUCAAUCAAUAAGUUAAUGUCACAUCAGUUUGUAUGAAAUAGAUUUAUAUAAGAGUUUGUGAUUGUAUCAUCACUCUAAAAUAAUUUCUGUUUAUACACACACAUAUAGGCACAAAAUCGAGUGGCCUAAUUCUGUUAAUUCUGUUAUCUUAAGACUAAUUAAUAAAAUAAUGAGACCGCACAAGUAACAAUUAAUUUUUUUUUUCAGUCUCCUCCCGAAUUCUUCUUUCGACGUUUUUCUCUCUUCCAGGAAUGCUUUUGCUUUGUUAUUAAUUAUGUCCUCUUGAAAUUAGAUUAAAUCUUAAAAAAUAGUUAGGGACGUGGCACAACCGUUUAUAAUUAUGGGUCCUUAUGCGAAUUAUGUCAUCACCUUCAUAUAUUAGAUAAAAUCCACGACACAAAGCUAAUCAAUUGCAGUCUAUUUUCUUGCUUGGUUGUUCAUUGCUUCUAUUAAACAAAGCCAUUAAGAAUUUUAUGGAUGUUUCCCGAGAAGCAAGCUAUUACAGCGAGCGGCUGGAGCUGUAGGGAGCCGAGGAGCAAGGCAGUAGAUAAGAUGGAAGAAGGGGCCAGGCUCCCGGUGGAGCAGAGGAGUUUGUUUAAAUAAAUUGAUUAAUCAAUUAUCUUUAUCUAUAGACAAACCUAUGAUCUUAAUUAAUUGCGUCUCUCCAAUAUCCAAGAUGGAUCUCCAAAUCCGAGUUAUUUGUCCAUUCAUGUGACAAGUAUUGGCAUCUAUCUUCUUCUUGGCAGUGUUACGAAAUGAUAAGUUUGAUUUGUACAUGAGCUUUAAGUUUUUCAGUUGAAAGAAAUUUAAUGCCAGUUUGCUUUUUACGUUUAAGACUUUUUGUGGUUAAUGAAUUUUCCAUUCCAAAAAAUAUAUUAUUGUAAAAACUGAAAAAUUUGUAAAAUAAAUAUAUUUUUUAUUAUUUUUUUUGGGUCAAAAUUUAUGAAAUAUAACUACUUUUGACAUAUAAUUCUCAAUUUUGAAAUGGAACCUUAGGAGAUGUGGCAGAUUAUAGGCACGGAGAUGACGGAAUUACCCAUCCAAUAGGAAGUGGUCAUAAAGCUUAUUUUAAAAAUUUAGUUUAUGUUGAUGAUGCUUUUCUGCCUCAUGAAGCUACAAGAAACAAUAAUAAUAGAUCGAGGAUAUCGCACAGAUGGGACUAAUUGGACCAUCUUAGGCCUAUAACAAAAGGUAAUAUUUCUGAUGAAAGAGAUUGCGUCUUUUAGAACAACCGAUGUGUCAAGUUUGUUCUAGAAAAGGAUUAAGAAGAGAGCAUAAUUAAGUCGACAUGCAUAAACUAACUUAAUCAACACAAUAGCAUACAUAUACAUUAAUUUUAUUUACUAAUUUCUUCGUUUAGGAAGAUAUAUUACAUGAAAAAGAAACAUAUCUCUCAAAAAAUCUUAUUGGUUGAACUGAACUAAAUGGAUACUCACACAAUUAAUAGGUCAUAAUAUACCCAUCUUUUUAUUUAAUUUAAAAAAAAAAUAUUCCAUAUUGAGGAACUACAAAAAGAUCAAAAUUAUCAUUUGCAGCAUCAUCAUCAGCAAUACUCGAACGGACAUCUAAUAUGUGCCCCUCUGACCAAUUCCUCUUGUCUGAAAAAUUUAUAUUAAAAAACUUAUUCAUAAAUACAUAAGUUCAAACAAGAAUUAUAAACAAUAUUUAACUGAAGUUGGCCAAAAUACCUGGGCAGGGAGUCUCCAUAUUCUUCAAAUUAAUCAGAAAGGAUCUCUCUAGCUUCCGGUGAACCGUUAUGAAAACACAAAAGUAAUUAAGUUGCUUUAGCGAGUUCCAGCGUUUGAUAUUUAUAGAAUGAAGCAACCAACUGUAGAUUCAAAUAAUAAAUCUUUA